GGGUUCACCCAUUGGUCAGGCUUAAUUGUCUGUACUGGUGAGAUGAAUCUCUACCUUCUGAGGAACUUUCAUGCCAUUUAUUUGGUGUGAUGGGAAUUUGGACUGUUACUUUGAAAAAAUUAGAGUGUUUAAAGCAAGCUAACGCUUGAAUACAUUAGCAUGGAAUAAUGAAAUAGGACGUUCGAUCCUAUUUUGUUGGUUUCUAGGAUUGACGUA
rnacentral:rRNA from 1 species